UAAAAAGCCCUCAACUAGUCUAUGAAGAGUUUAUAACAAUAUGAGUAUUGGAGGCCUCUUAUUCGUUCUGGCAAUCUUUUUGCGCGCACCAAGAUCUCCAGCCAAAACUGAAAAAUGUAGUCCCUUGGAUUGUAGAAACGGGGAUUAACUAUAUUAUGACUAUAUAUGAUCAACAGUACUGCAAUAAAGUACUUUGGUAAUUUAUUUAAACGCUACAGUUCUGGUAAA